rnacentral:lncRNA from 1 species
ACAAACAAAAAAGAACCCCGUGUGCCUUGUGUCCUGGGGACUUGUGCACAAGUCUUACCUCCCAUCCACCCCAUCCUCCAGAGUGAGAGCCCCAAAAGGAAGGGACCGGAACUGGCCCAGUUCCUGACUCCUAGCACGUCCUUGAGAGCUGUUUGCUGCUGAGCCAGUGCCGGACAGUCACUCCCAGUUCCUCUAAGGCCAGCCAGGCGGGGUUUCAGGCCCCACCACCUCCCUCCCACCUCUUCCAUGCUAGACUUUGUUUCCUGCUGGGCUGCAGCUGCCCCUCACCAGCUGGUGACUCAGAGCCUGGGCAGGAUGACAGUGCCGAUUGGGCCCUCGCAACCCUCUGAGCCUUCUGUGAAUCAGCCUGCGGUGAGGCUGCGCCCGGGCUCCCGGGUGGGGCACCUCCACCCCAGCCUGGCCCUCCUUCCUCUCCCCUUUAGGUCUUGCUGAUUUCUGUCCUCCAGGUCUUCUCAGUAGAAUGAGGAUAAUCCUGAAUUCAGAACAUAUUUCCUGAGUACGGUGAGUGCCCAGGAGAUGGGGGCUGAGAGCUGGCUCCUGCGCUCCUGAGAGCACAGUUUCCUGGGCAGGAGCAGAGAGAAGGCCCAGAGGAAGAUGGGAGGGAGGCAAGGCAAAGGAUGCUGUGGGGAGAGCCCAGAGCUGGGCCGCAGGCUCCAUCAAUGAGGAACACUUCCACAGCCCUUCUUUGCUUUUAUGAGUACAGUAGUGGUUCUCAGCUGGAGGAUUUCUCCUACAGUCGGAGGGAAAACCCGGGAAUGAGGAAUGCUGAUGGACAUAGCACUAUCAGAGGACUUGAUCCUGUUUCUCAGAGAGGAAGACAGACACUCUUAGCAUAAUGAGGGUCAAAAGUUGGGCCAGGCCGGGCACGGUGGCUCACGCCUGUAAUCCCAGCACUUUGGGAGGCUGAGGCAGGCAGAUCACUUGAGGUCAGGAGUUUGAGGCCAGCCUGGCCAACAUGGUGAAACCUCAUCUCCACUAAAAAUACAAAAAUUAGCUGGGUGUGGUGGCACAUGCCUGUAGUCCCAGCUACUCAGGAGGCUUAGGCAGAAGAAUCGCUAGAAUCCAGGAGGCAGAGGCUGCAGUGAGCCGAGAUCACACCACUGCACUCCAGCCUGGGUGACAGAGCGAGACUCUGUCUCAAAAAAAAAAAAAAAAAAGAAAUUGGGGCUAGCAGUAUCGAUAAUAGGGGAUCUCAUACCAAGAGAGCAAAUGGCCCAACAUUCAUCUUCAGAGUAAAGAGGUCUGGUUAAAAAAAAAAGCGUAUAUGUAUACACACACACACACACAACUGAAGAAAACGCCAAGGGAAAAAAAAUGUAAGCUAUAACCCCAGAACACAAAACAUAAUGCCCUUCACCCCUCCUCCAUGCGACCUGCCAGCAGAAAGACUGGGGGUGUGGCAGGGCGGUGGGGGCGGGGGGUAGGGUAUGUUUGUAGCCUUUCAGUGAAACAGGGCAGAGAACUGCUCCUUUUUCUUUUCUCUCUCUCUUUUUUUUUCUUUUUGAGACCGGGUCUCGCUCUGCCAUGCUGGCUGGAGUGCAGUGGCGCCAUCACAGCUCACUGCAGCCUUGACCUACCUAGGCUGAAGCGAUCCUCCCACCUCAGCCUCCUGAGUAGCUGGGACUAUAGCAUUGCCAUUCCUGGCUAGUUUUCAUUUUGUCUUGUUUUCGUAGAGACAGGGUUUCAUCAUGUUGCCCAGGCUGGUCUCAAACUCCUGGGCUCAAGCAAUCCGCCUGCCUUGGCCUCCCAGUGUGUUGGGAUUACAGGCAUGAGCCACUGCAUCUGGCUGGAGAACUGCUUCUAAAUAUGCCCAAACAACUCUUCGGUUCCUGCACUUGUUGCCUCAGAAGGCAGCAGCAUCCUUAGGCUCCAGGGUGGGAUGUCACAAACAGAUGUCUUCAUUUUUAUUUUGUUUAGCUUAAGUUGUGUAAUUGUGACUUAAAGCUGGUUUGUUUGUUUGUUUUAAGGCAGAGUUUUGCUUUUGUUGCCCAGGCUGGAGUGCAAUGGCGUGAUCUCGGCUCACUGCAACCUCUGCCUCCCAGGUUCAAGUGAUUCUUCUACCACAGCCUCCCAAGUAACUGGGAUUACAGGCUUGCGCCACCAUGCCCGGCUAAGUUUUGUAUUUUUAGUAGAGAUGGGGUAUCACCAUGUUGAUCAGGCUGGAUGGUCUUGAACUCCUGACCUCAGGUGAUCCACCUGCCUCGGCCUCCCAAAUUGCUGGGAUUACAGGCAUGAGCCACUGCGCCCAGCCUUGUUUGUUUUUUUAAGACAGCAUCUCACUCUGUACCCAGACUGGAGUGCAGGGGCAUCAUCAUAGCAUCAUAGCUCACCGCAGCCUUGAACUCUCAAACUCCUGGGCUCAAGCAAUCCUCCUGCCUUAGCCUCCCAAGUAGCUGGGACUACAGGCUCACACCCCCAUGCCCCACUAAUUUUUUAUUUUUAUUUUGUAGAGACAUGGGCUCUAUCUUGCUAUAUUGUGGAGGCUGGUCUCCAACUCCUGGCCUCAAGUAAUCCUCCUGCCUUGGCCUCCCAAAGUGCUGGGACUACAGAUGUGAACCACCAUGCCCUGCCCAGAUGUUUUCAGAUGGUUGGGGAUCCAUUCAGCAAAAUAGCUGCUAUUUUUGUUUGGUUUGGUUUGGUUUUCCUUUUUUUUCCCCUGCCCUUAUUUUUGUUUUGUGUAUUAAACAUCUGCCUAAACAUCACCUCCAUGUACCCAGGGCUUGGCUAGGAUGUAUUCAUAGGGGAUGUAUCAACAGGUAGGGGAAGGGUUAUAGCCUGGAAGGAAGUGAGGGAAGAAUUUGAGGGUUAAGGAGACAGAGCAUCGGCUGGGCAUGGUGGCUCACGCCUGUAAUCCCAGCACUUUGGGAGGUGGAGGCAGGUGGAUCACCUGAGGUCAGGAAUUCGAGACCAGCCUGACCAACAUGGAGAAAAAAACCCCAUCUCUACUAAAAAUAAAAAAUUAGCGGGGCGUGGUGGCGCAUGCCUGUAAUCCCAGCUACUUGAAAGGCUGAGGCAGGAGAAUUGCUUGAACCUGGGAGGCGGAGGUUGCAGUAAGCUGAGAUCAUGCCAUUGCACUCCAGCCUGGGCAACAAGAGUGAAACUCCAUCUCAAAAAAAAAAAGGAGACAGAGCAUCAGAGGGGGGAGUCCCUUGAAGUGGGGGAGGGAGGCCUACAUGAGACCCUGCAUGGGAAUGCUCCAAAGGUCUGGGCAGUAAGCCCCGAGCUUAUGGACAAUCAGACCAGAGACCCCAAGCCUGCCUCCCCUGCUUACCCAAUGACAGGCACCUGAGAUACCGCCAGGGCAGCCGCAGAUGGUGAGGAGGGGAGCCAGGGCCCCAGCAUGAGCCCCCUUGUCUACCUGCUCCCUGACUUAGGGGAGAGCCAGAGACAUCCACUGUGCUUCAGGACAAGGAGCCCAGGGCCCAGGUUAUGUGUGCAUGGGAAAUGGGGAAACUGAUGUCCAGAGAGAAGUGACUGCCCCGGGUCACCAACAGGGCAGGGCCAGA